AUGAACGCUAGCUACAGGCUUAACACCUGCAAGUCGAGGGGAAACGGCAUCGAAAGCUUGCUUUUGAUGGGCGUCGACCGGCGCACGGGUGAGUAACGCGUAUCCAACCUGCCCAUCACUUGGGAAUAACCUUGCGAAAGUAAGACUAAUGCCCAAUGACAUCCCACGAAGGCAUCCGAAUGGGAUUAAAGAUUUAUCGGUGAUGGAUGGGGAUGCGUCUGAUUAGCUUGUUGGCGGGGUGACGGCCCACCAAGGCAACGAUCAGUAGGGGUUCUGAGAGGAAGGUCCCCCACAUUGGAACUGAGACACGGUCCAAACUCCUACGGGAGGCAGCAGUGAGGAAUAUUGGUCAAUGGGCGAGAGCCUGAACCAGCCAAGUAGCGUGCAGGAUGACGGCCCUAUGGGUUGUAAACUGCUUUUAUAAGGGAAUAAAGUGGGUCACGUGUGACUUUUUGCAUGUACCUUAUGAAUAAGGACCGGCUAAUUCCGUG
rnacentral:rRNA from 1 species